AUUUAGUCUCCCUCCAUCACGAUUCUAUCACUAUUCCGUCCAUUUUUUAUAUUUUAUAUCGAAAAUGCCCUUCAAAAUGACAGAAAUAUAUUUAGAAGUUAUUAUAUUUUCUUAUAGAAGAAGUAAGAAUAAUUUGAUUAUUUACCCUCUUCAUUAAUAUCGUAUCCUCCGAAAAUAUUUCUGAAAUUUUAAUGGGACAAAAUAUAGAUUUUUGUA
rnacentral:lncRNA from 1 species